GACGAACGCUGGCGGCGUGCUUAACACAUGCAAGUCGAACGAGUGGCGAGCGGGUGGGUAACACGUGGGGGAUCUGCCUUGCACUUCGGGAUAAGCUUGGGAAACUGGGUCUAAUACCCGAUAUGCCACGAUGAGCCCGCGGCCUUUCAGCUUGUUGGGGGGGUAAUGGCUACCAAGGCGCGCAGGGUAGCCGGCCUGAGAGGGUGUACGGCCACAAGGGGGCUGGGUGACGGCCCAGAGGCCUACGGGCGGCAGCAGUGGGGAAUAUGGCACAAUGGGCGGAAGCCUGAGGCAGGGACGCGGCGUGGGGGAUGAAGGCCUUCGGGUUGUAAGCUCCUUUCGACAGGGACGCGGUACCCGUAGAAGAAGCACCGGCUAACUACGUGCCAGCAGCCGCGGUAAUUC
rnacentral:rRNA from 1 species